rnacentral:rRNA from 1 species
CAAGCGGUGGAGCAUGUGGUUUAAUUCGAUGCAACGCGAAGAACCUUACCUGGGCUUGACAUCCCGGGAAUCCCUUGGAAACAAGGGAGUGCCUUCGGGGAACCUGGAGACAGGUGCUGCAUGGCUGUCGUCAGCUCGUGUCGUGAGAUGUAGGGUUAAGUCCCGCAACGAGCGCAACCCUUGUCUUUAAUUGCCAUCAUUGAGUUGGACACUUUAAAGAGACUGCCGGUGUUAAACCGGAGGAAGUGGGGAUGACGUCAAGUCCUCAUGGCCUUUAUGCCCAGGGCUACACACGUGCUACAAUGGGUGGUACAAAGAGCAGCCAGCUCGCGAGGGGGAGCCAAUCCCAUAAAGCCAUUCGUAGUCCGGAUCGCAGUCUGCAACUCGACUGCGUGAAGUCGGAAUCGCUAGUAAUCGUGGAUCAGAAUGUCACGGUGAAUACGUUCCCGGGUCUU